rfam:Volvox carteri f. nagariensis unplaced genomic scaffold VOLCAscaffold_323, whole genome shotgun sequence.
GCGGAUUUAGCUCAGUUGGGAGAGCGCUAGACUGAAGAUCUAGAGGUCGCUAGUUCAAUCCUAGCAAUUCGCA